rnacentral:rRNA from 1 species
GACGAACGCUGGCGGCGUGCUUAACACAUGCAAGUCGAACGGAAAGGCCCUGCUUUUGUGGGUGCUCGAGUGGCGAACGGGUGAGUAACACGUGAGUAACCUGCCCUUGACUUUGGGAUAACUUCAGGAAACUGGGGCUAAUACCGGAUAGGAGCUCCUGCUGCAUGGUGGGGGUUGGAAAGUUUCGGCGGUUGGGGAUGGACUCGCGGCUUAUCAGCUUGUUGGUGGGGUAGUGGCUUACCAAGGCUUUGACGGGUAGCCGGCCUGAGAGGGUGACCGGCCACAUUGGGACUGAGAUACGGCCCAGACUCCUACGGGAGGCAGCAGUGGGGAAUAUUGCACAAUGGGCGGAAGCCUGAUGCAGCAACGCCGCGUGCGGGAUGACGGCCUUCGGGUUGUAAACCGCUUUCGCCUGAGACGAAGCGUGAGUGACGGUAAUGUGUAAAGAAGCACCGGCUAACUACGUG